GGAGCGGUAGUUCAGUCGGUUAGAAUACCUGCCUGUCACGCAGGGGGUCGCGG
rnacentral:tRNA from 2 species